rnacentral:miRNA from 1 species
AAAAUAUAAUACUAAAUAUAUUUUUGGUUAUGUUAAUUCUUGAAUGGUUAUGUUAUAAAAUUAUACGCAAGUUAUGUGGUGAUAUUGCUGCCAUGAAUGACGUAGAGUUUUACCGAAAUAGGUAACAUUAACAGUUUAUUACACAUAAGCAUGCAGAGUGCCGGAGGAGCGAUCGUGAGGUGCACCGAUACGAUAUCAGCUCGAGCAGUAACCUUGAAACAUUUGAUAAACACAAGAUGAAAAUCGAUACGACAAACUGAAGAGUGAAGUUUGCGAUCGAGUGGAGCGGCACACACGCUGUUCAACUCCGGCUUAACUUUAACCCACAUAACAAAGUUCAAUGUAAACACAAUAUGCCAGAAGUUUCCGAAGUUCCAGUUCACGGCCGCGAGGCGACCGGGCCGCCGUCGCCGCCGCGGCGCCUCCUCGCGCCACCAUCCCUCUCACCCUCGCCGGCCGCGCGCCGCCACUGCCUCGCCGCCGCGCCCCUCCGACAACUUCUGCCGUUAUUGCCUAAACUUCUCUACGAGACGAGACGCCAGUCGAGACGCUUUCGCUGUUCUACAGUUUUGUCAGCCGGUGUCAAUGUGCUAUAGUUACUUCUCUCAUGCUUAUUGUAAUUAUGACUUAAUUUAUUUGAUUGAUAUAUUUUAUAAAACACUAUGCAUGCGUGAAGGUAAUGCCAGGCGGAAUUAAGAAUCAAAAAUACGAUGUUGAGCAUGAGCCGAACACUUGCGUAUGCUGGAAUAUGCGGUGAUCUAGUUCGUUAUCAUCAUACAUACAUAAAUAAUCUGUUUAGCUUACCAUCAGCGAACUCAUGUUAUCUAGUAAUAUACAAUGCGCACUGAAUUAAUAUACCUACUGCCUACCUGGACUAGUUCAAAUAACAAAGAGUUAUAUGGCAUUAUUUUUGGAUACGGCUAAAGCUGACUAAAGUUACUUAUAUUGUUACAUAUUUACGGACUUAGAAAGUAAACAGAAAUUCUUAAGCAGCAUCUUUUAGACCAAUGUGUUUCCAUGGCUUAAAAGACAAAAGCAUAGUACGAAAGUUGGAAAGCACAUGACGUAUUAAAGCAGGUGUAUAAUAUGUGUGUCUGCGUGUUCGUGCACACAACUACACACCUGUACAAUGUACAGUGCUCCAGAAAGCGCACACCUUGUGUCUUAUCAUCUGACACCGUUUGAUAUGCGCCUUUACACCUUAUCUAUAAUGUCGAAAUUCUUCCACGUAUCACGUAUCCUAGUCAUGUAACUAAAGACAUUUAUACGCGCUUUAUUAGAUACUUAUGUGUUUAGAUACUAGACAAUUAUUGUAUUUAACACUCAUUUAUAAACUUGUAGUGGUUACAAUUCCUAUACUCUGUCUUUAAGGAUAAUUAAGUUCUAUUAAAGGAUCUAUUGUAUAUAAUAAUUUUAGCAUGCUUCUCUGUCGAUAAUCUUAGUAUAUUGCUGUUAAUGUUACACACUUUGGCAGUGGGCUAUUUAGGCGCAAGCGUUGAGUAGAGACAAUAGCUGCUAAUGUACUCCAUUUCGUAUCUAUUUGUAUUUACGUCUAACAGUGAUGAGAAAAUAGUGGAUUUAUCUGUCAACGAGAUAAUUAUAAUGUAAUAAAGGUGUAUCUCGAGUGUAAACAAAACGACUAGUCGGUGUGGUGGAGCCGCCGGCAGCAGACAGCGGCCCGGGCGCAGCGCUGCGCCGCGCGCCUUAUCAUCGAUGCCUUGCCGAUUGGUGGAGUGAAGUGUUUGCGCGACUGAUACCGCCCGCGGGGGCCAAUCGAUUCCCUGUUUCGUCGAAUCUUAUCAAAAUCAUGGUGGACGUUCGUACCUCGUGUCGGUUCCCUGAUAUCGUAUCUAAAGAUAUCGACGAAAGUAUAAAUAUGAGCCCAUCGAUCGAUCGGCUCUCUAUCGAAGUGCAAGCUGUGAUCGCUGUUCAUGUGGGGUGAGUCGCGCGUGCGUUAUUGGACUGUUUGAAAUCUCACCGGCAGCUUCAACUCCUCAGGGUAGCUGCUACUGAGUCUCCAACCUACGUAGAGCCGAUCCUGGUCGUUGACAGCGUGCGGAAAUUCUUACUCAGGGACACAAGGUUGGUUAUCGAUCACCUUCGACGUGGCACUGACGCCUCAGUGUUGCCGUGUCUUGUGAUAAAAUUUUCCGUCAUCCAACAUAUAAUGUUUCUAGUAUCUACUUAUAUAUUACGAUCAGCUUCGAAUCGUCUCGCGUCUCACCGUUGUCACUGUGGAAAUAAACGUCGGUGAUUACGUAAUAACAUAUGGUGGUCCAAUGGCACAUGUGUUCCUUGAGUCCGUGUCACCACGGCCGCCGGCUAUGUGUUCUUAUUAUCCCGUCAAAGCCAUUAUUAUUACAUUUGCGAAUAUGUACAUUCAUUACAGAACUAUGCAGGAUCGCUAACGCUACAGGGAAAAGCGACGCUGUUAUCAAAAAACGUUAACUGCGCCUUUUCGAGCGGUGAUAGCACACAGCCUGGUAUCGCGUGCAGUGCGCGCGCGUCCCUGGUCACACUAACCAAAUGUACAAUGUCUGUUGUAUAACAAUAAUAAUUUGUUUAAUUUACAGGUGGAAAUUAUACGAUGUACUACGCGUCCAGUAAUAUUACAGGCCUCACGUCUGAGUUGGACAGGGGAUCUUGACAGUUUAAUGUCACUUGCUGCCAGAUCUAUCUUUCCAGCUCACGCGUGAGGCCGCCCCACGCCACCAGGAAGAAUCUAUCAACUCGUAAAGCACAUCCCAGCGACUAAAAUGAAGAUGUGAGCGUACCAGAUUAAGUGGAGGUGUGAUCUCUUCACUUUUUAUGUUUAAAGUGAGAUUCAACUCCUCCAACUUAACCCUGAAUCGCAAUUUCUGCGCACUCCUGAAGAAGACUCUGACGUAAUGAUUUCUUAUGUUUACGUGAAUGUUAAACAUUGAAAUAAAACUAUUUUGCGGAUUUUAUUGCGGUUUUUACAUUAUAAUUUUCUAUUCUAUUUCUAGACAAAGUUAUUUACCUACAUUUUACAGUUAUACAAUAUUGAAAAAUGUAGGUAGUUAUUAUAACUUUGACUUCUUGGAUGACCAACAUCACAGUUCGCCCUUAAACCAUGAAGACUGCAAAGUCUUCGAAACGUAGGAAGAAAAUUAUAAUUUAAAACCGCGAUAAAAUCUGCAAAAUAGUUUUAUUCAAAGAUCUUGAUGCUUCAUCUGUAGAAAUAUUUAAUUUUGUACUUUCAUAAAAUUUUAUGUCAUAAAUAAUAAUGUACCUAUCUCUCGAAAUAAUACAUAAUGUAUGAUGUUACAAUAUAAAAUGUUACAAUUCACAUUAUAACCAUUCAUAUUAUACCUUCCCUACAUCAAAUACUGUUGUGUUUUUAUUGUAAAAAUGAUUUAUUAUAAUAUAACUAUGGCUGAUAACUUAGUUUUAUUUACUAUAAUGAAAAUAUUAACUAUUUUUAAUAUAUAUGCCCAUCAAAUAAUUUAUAGUUGCACCGAAAUACCCUUUUAAUCGUUAAUUUAAUUUCGGUUCAAACGUUGGCGCCACUGUGCCGUUCUAGCGAGUAUUAUGAAAGACCCAACUCGUUCCGACCAGUAUGAAGUGUGCCACAAAUCACUAGAAAAAAAUCACAACACAGAAAACAAAAAAUGGGCAAAAAAAUGUUGGUAACACCGGUGCGCUAAAAAAGCUUGCAAACUUCACGCACCUAACCUGCGCUGGACAUCGACUCGUCCGUAUCUCCAAACUCUGGGAAAAUGUAUAUUGAUUUUUCAAAGAAAAGUCAACCGAUGUAACAAAACACUACUCGUCGAGUGUUUAUACGCGAAGUGAAGUGCCGCGGUGGACGUGCAGCGUCGUCGACAUGGUGCGACGGGGCCCGUCGGCGCGCCCCGAGUGAGGUCGGAGAGAGUGUCGCGUCGCUCGGCCGACGGCCCGCAGCCCUGCGGCCGCGGUCCGGCGCGUCAUGGACGCCGGCGCCGACCCGCUGCGAGCCGCCAGGCCGUGAGUAUCGCCGCCAGCGGCCCACGCCGUCGAUUAUUUCGGUCCCCGCGAGCCCCGUGAGCCCGACCGCCGCGCCGUUGCGAAACGGCCGCCGCGCUCGUCGAACGGACGUUCUCCCGCUACCGCGGCCUCCGCGCUGCGCCAUUUCGAAACGUCGCCUCGUCCGCGAGCUGAGGACGGGCCGAUAGCGAUCGGCGAGGCGGCGAGCGCGGCGCCCGAGCGUGACCGCCUCCGCCCGCGCGGGCCCCGGCCCCGGCCCGGCCCGUGCGCGUGAAUGACUCCGCGCUCGGGCUCGCCGCUCGUGUUUACAGUUUUUGCUGCGGCUCCGGUGCGCCGCCCUUUGUCCGGUGGGUCGGCGGAGGCGCUGGUCGGGCUCGCGAGGCGCGCUCGCCAGUGAGUUAUGGCCGGCCGCUGCCCGCUAGUGCAUGCGAGCCGUGCACCGCGCGCCACACGUACCUAACGUACGCGCCUAUCUAUAGCUAUACGCGGCGAAGGCUGCGAGACGCGAGUACGUACUACUCAAACAAAGCGUUUUGCCCACAAAUCCAUAGUGGCAGGCUCGCACGGGCAGCGGUCGUGUUCUUUGUGAAACGUCGCGCGCGGAGUCGCGGGUGAUGUCAUGUGGCCUGCCGCUUCGGCUCUGGGAACAUCUGGCCGAUUGUCACUCGUUAAUUUUAGUCUGCAUUUUGAGGUUAGGUGGUGAUUAGUGUCGCAAGUGAUCGGUGCAGCCGUCGGAACGUACCAGUGGUUCAACUCAGUGUCCAGUGCGUGGCCGUGUCGCAGUGUGUCAGUGCACAUGAACAGUGAGAGUGCAGACAGUAUGCGCCUCGCGAGGGUCGCGCUCUGUGAGCCAUUGCCAGUGAGUUUGUCACGCCAAUAACUCACAGCAGCCCUCGGUGACAGGUGACAGUGUUGAAUGUGUUGGAAGUCAGCAGUGCCCGCAGGAGGCUUGUAGUGAGCCAGCGGCAGUGGACAGUGGAUGUGACCAGCCGCCCGCCUCAUGCUCAGGGAGGAGGGCGAUGAUAAGCCGAAGCCGCCGGAGAGCCAGGACGACGGGUACGAGACGAGCAACAGCGGCGAGGCGGCGCGACGCAAGCCCUCCAGCGCCGAGGGCUCGCCCGCGCCGCCGCCCGAGCCCUCGCCGCCGCCCGACCCGCCCUACGAGCCCAUGAUGCGCUACCCGCAACCAGAACCAGAACCCUAUAGACAUUUCGAGCAGCCCGCGCCGCCGGGGCUCUCGGCGCCGGAGCCGCAGUACUUCCCGUUCCCCAAGUACAGCGAGCCGUACGCGUUCAAGCGCGAGGACGUGCCGUACGACAUGAGCCAGCAGCAUGCGCACGCGCACGCGCACCAGCAACACCACCAACAGCACCAAUACGCGCUGCCGCACCAGCAGAAGCGAGACGAAGACAUCUACAAUGGCAUCAAGCGCGAGUGCGAAGACCCGUACUCGUUCGCGGAGGAGGAGGCGGCGAUGUGCGCGAUGCUGCAGCAGCCCGCGCCGCACGCGCUGCUGCACGAGCACCACCUCAUGCACCCGCAGCAGAUGCUGCUCAACCAGCCCAAGAAGCGCGGCCGCAAGAAGAAGAUCAAGGACGAGAACGGUAUGGAGAUAAAGACGGAGGGCAUGGAGGGCGCGCUGGUGCCGCGGCCGGUGAAGGAGCGCAAGAAGCACGACCGGUUCAACGGCAUGAGCGAGGAGGAGGUGUCGCGCCGCACGCUGCCCGACCACCUCGCCGAGAACCUCGACAUCAUCAUUAUCGGCAUAAACCCGGGUCUGUUCGCGGCGUACAAGGGGCACCACUACGCGGGCCCCGGCAACCACUUCUGGAAGUGUCUCUACCUGUCCGGACUCACCAGGGAGCAGAUGAGCGCCGAUGAAGACUACAAGCUGUUGAACUUCGGCAUCGGUUUCACGAACAUGGUGCCGCGGCCGACCAAGGGCUCGGCGGACCUGACGCGGCGCGAGAUCAAGGAGGGCUCCGCGGUGCUGCUGGAGAAGCUGCAGACCUUCCGGCCCAAGGUGGCCGUCUUCAACGGGAAGCUCAUCUACGAGGUGUUCUCCGGCAAGAAGGACUUCUGCUUCGGGAAACAACCGGACACCGUCGCCGGCACCAACACUUACAUGUGGGUGAUGCCGUCGUCGUCGGCGCGCUGCGCGCAGCUGCCGCGCGCGGCGGACAAGGUGCCGUUCUACGCCGCGCUGAAGAAGUUCCGCGACUACCUCAACGGACUCGUCGCGCACGUCGACGAGGCCGAGCUCGUGUUCCCCGACAACACCAGCCGCCGCCCGCAGGAGGAGAUGGAGAUCCGCAGGCUCACAAUGGAGCCGGAACCAGGCGACACGAUCAUCCUGGAGGACGGCACUGAGGUGCCGCUUAAGAAGAAGCGAGGCCGACCCAAGAAGGUGAAGCUGGAGAACGGCGAGACCGCGCCGCCCACCCCCCGCGCCCCGCGCCAGCCGCGACCCCCGCCCACGCUCGACCCCAACGGAGACCAGCCACCCAAGAAGAAGCGUGGUAGACCCAAGAAAAUACGCCCCGAAGAACAACAGUUCCUCAUGCAACAACAACAACAGCAACAGCAACAACAGUCGAACCCCAUGCUGCAGUCGUCGCUGUCGUCGCUGUCGUCGCUGCCGCACGAGCAGGGCUACCUGGCGCCGCACGCGGGCGAGUUCCCGCAGCAGCUCGGCUCGCUGCCGUCGCUGCCGUCGCCGCUGGCGCAGGGCUCGCUGCUGUACUCGCACGCGCACCCCGCGCACCCGGCGCACGCGCACCAGGCCAUGCCCGACGGCGCCGGCUACUUCCAGCCGCAGCCGCAGGCCCAGCCCGCCGGCGGAGACGGCACACCAUGCGACAUGUCCGGCAUGGACUCGCCACUGGACGUGUCGCCCGCCGGCCGCGCCUUCAGCGCGCGCUCGCCCAUGUACGCGCACAGCCCCGCGCACCAACCCUACCACCAUCCGCACCAGCAAUCGAGUCCUGCUCAGCAACCUCGAUUCUCGCAGUCGCCUCAUCCGCACCAUCCACUACCCUACGCACGCUCGCCCGCACCACAGACGCAGUCACGGCCGUACUCGCGGUCUCCGGUGCCGUCGGGCGCGGGGGUGGUGGGCGUGGGAGUGGGGGUGGGAGGCAACACCACGCCGUUCCCGGCCGCGUCGCCCGCAGGCGGCGGCUACACGCCCUCGCCCGCGCACACUCCCUACAGCCACCGCUCCUCGCCUGCGCCCUCCUCACGCACUCCCACAUACACAGACGCGCAUCACUUCCCACAUCAGAGCGGCAGCGGCGGCAGCGCGUUCGGCGGCGAGCUGGGCAGCGAGAUCGGCGCGGCCAUCUCGUCGCCGGGCCCGGUGUCGCCCGGCAUGGCGGCGCUGGACUUCGAGCCGCCGCGCGACCCCGAGCGCGCCGCCAGCCCCGCCAGCGCCGACCUGCACCCCGCCUCCAACUCCGACUCCUCGCUCUCCGACUACAACAAGACGUCGGUGGGCGGCGAGAUGUCGCCGGCGGGCGUGGGCGCGGGCUCGUUCGGCGCGCUGUACGAGGGCGAGCCGCGCCUGCAGUACCCGCACGCGCCGCACGCGCUGCACGCGCAUGCGCACUCGCCCGCCGCGCAGGACAAGGACCACUACCACUACCGGCAGGACCAGGGGAGCGGUGUAUCCGAGAGCCCAAGAUUAGACCAGAUGCACCAGCAUCAAUCCAUGUAUCCCAACAACUUCAACCGGUCGACGCCGCCGGGUCCAGUGGCGGAGGGUCCGUUCUCACCGCUGCCUGCCGCGUUCCGCCCGCCCGAACACCCGCACACGCCACACACGCCGCAUACACCACACACACCGCACACGCCGCUACAUCACCAGCCCGGUUCUCCGGGUGACUACAGCGGCACAGUGAAACCGAAGUCGCAAGACGUCGCGUCCAAGUCCCUGUCGGGUCUGGAAUCGCUCGUGGACCAGAUCCCGUCGAUAGCGGAGGGUCCGGGCGGCGCGGCGGGCGUGGCGGGCGGAGUGGGCGGCGUGGGGGGAGUGGCGGGGGUCGGCGGCGUGGGGGGCGUGGGCGGCGUGAGUGCGGGCGCGACCGAGCAGCCCGCGCCGGCGCCCGUGCCCGCGCUGCCCGAGUACGCGCCCGCGCUCUACGGGCCCUACGGCGCGUACGGCGGCGCCGCCUACGGGAACAACGGGUACGGCGGUCCGUUCGUGGGGUACGGCGGCGGCUGGGGCGCGACGGUGAUGCGGCCGGCGCCGGGCUACCUGCCCGAGUGGCAGUACGGGUACGGCGCGGGGGUGCCGCCCGCCUACGCGCCCUACAACGCGCCCUACUACAACGGGUACGCGCCGCCGCCUGCCCAUCACCAGCAGGUACCCUAGCCAGAACCAUCGCGUCAGUAAGGCGCACUACCUGUCGGCGCCGCCGCUGAUCGACCUGCACAAGAACGGCGAGCACGCGGGCGGCGUGCCGGCCGUGCCCUCCGUGCCCUCCGUGCCGUCCGUCGGCUUCGGCGGCUUCUGUUAGUGCACUCACGCGACCACACUGUACAUACCACACGCGGACUUUUUAUCUGUCGUUUUAACGAGGUACGUGAUUUGUUUCUUUUGUAAGCGAUCGUCAGUAUUGUGGAGGACUGUUUGUGGUUGAAUCUCAGCGCCCGGCGCCGGCCGCGCGGCCGCUGCAGACUGCAGUGCCGGACUGCAGUGAUGUGCUCCCGCGCACGGGCUGCAGCGGCGCGAGAGGCGCCGGCGCCGGCUCGAUAAACUAUAGUGUAAGUAGCGAAAUUGGACUGAUGUAUCGACUCGAAUGGCGGUUUUUUAUCGAAUUAAUACAAUUUUUGUAAAGCAAUCGUUAGUGAUGUAAUUUAAUCUUUUUCAAAUUGAUGAGCUUAAUUUAUAGGUGGUUUAUUUGUAAAUAUUGUAUGUAUUAUUAUUUUGAUUCAUCACAUAUUUCUUUUAUUAUUAUUAUUUAAACUAAUCGCUCGUUACAUCACAGGUUAUAUCGCAAUUUGUAUAACCCUCUAUGUUGUGGACAUGUUUAUCGUAACCCAGUUAGAGCCGCGAAUGAAACAAGAGUAUAAUACAAUAAAACUGGUACCAAAACUUUCGAUGAAAGACUUUGACAAGUCGGAAUGAAAGCGAAUAAAGUUUAAGCAUAUCCACAGUGUGAAGGGUGUGUUUGUGCGCGUGAGCGGCGGCGGUGAGCGGCGGCGGCGAGCGGGCGCGGGUACCGACGUAUUCGGAGAGUCUGUGAUCCUCGUCAUGUCUAACUAACUAAUGGCCAUUGUUAUUGCCAUACGGAAAAAAUGUGUUCGGAAACGUUCGAUAUGGAGUGGCGCACGCGCAGUGCUGUCGGUCGCGGUUGUGUCCGGAGUGACAGCGGUGGCGGUACAUAGAGGCCAUAUUAUGAGACGAUACGAAAUGGGAUUUUCUACUGUCUGUAUGUUGUAACAAUCUAUGUUUCUACGUUUGUAAUAUGAGGCUUAUUAUGUGGCGAAACCGCUACAAAACCCAAGCUGUACAAGCUAACACGAUUGUGAUCUCAUUGGUAUAUAAGAAUGUGACAUUAAUGAUCUUUGUUUAAGUUAAUUAUGAAUUAAAAUAUCUUUUCGCUGUGAUAUUGAGAACUUGGUAUUGGUUUAGUACAGGCGGUAAUUGUUAAACUAACGCGUGGGUCGUGUUAGCUUGCCGGCUGAGAUGGACUUGUUUAGUCGAUGCUGCUUUCCAGUACACAGUUUUUGUGAAUAUGUCCAUAAAUGUGUAAAUUUUACAUAUGACACAGUUAUCGUGGUAUUUGCAGCUCGCUGUGUACUCGCGAGCAGUCUCGAUGUUCGCGCGAGGGACCGACGCUCGUGGGCGGUGCACACUCGUGGCAGAAUCCUUAACAUUUAUUCGUUAUUCAUUUGGGAUUCAGCCAGAAAUUGUUAUACGAAGUCUUGCCAAUGAUGUGUUUCGCUCUAGUCACUUAUUAAUUCGUGUCGGCUAGUCAAAAUGAUAACGUACCCUGCGCCGCACCUCGCCCCCGACACUUGUCGCGCCGAUAUUAUAUAUUAUAUAGAAAAAAAUAUUAUUUUUUGUAUCUAAGUCACAAGAACGGCCUACGAAAGGAAUAACGUAUACUUUUUAUUUUUUAGAAUUUAGUUUGUAAUGUUUUGUGACACUAUUUAUAAUUAGCAUUUUGUAUUCUACUGUCGCAACGAGGCGGCCAUUUUGUCGGCGCGGUCAAUGACUGUCUGUGGUGCGCGGAUAUAAACUUGUGGAUCAUUUUUUAAUGAAUAUUUUAUGAGGUAUUGUAUUUUCCAUGUUACCAACAAUGGUUACUUUUUUUUAUAAAAAAAUAUAUUUUUAAAUCUUUUUAAAAUCCUAUUGUGUUGUUACCAACCGAAAAGAAAUGUGUAAAGGUUUUUUGGCCUUACCUGUAUAAUGAAUUGUAUAAUUAUCCCGUCGAGCACCGCAGAAGGAAGUCAGUGGGCGCGCCAUUGCCAUGGACACCGUGCAUUUUACUAAACGUUACCCGAUCAGUUACAUUAGCUUGGAGUCGCUAGUGAAAUAGCAUAAUUUUACAAUAAUUAUUGAUAACCUAUAUUUUUAUUAUACGCGCCAUUUUAUUAUAAGGCCAUUGACGUGAGAAUAAAUAAUAAUUUAAAACUUGUCGGAAUGCGUCCAGUCUUACAGAAUAUUGUGUUAAAUUGUAAACUGAAAUAGCACAGAUUGCAUUUACUUAUUUUUAUUUUAUUUUGACGUUUUGCUUACACAUUUACACUAUUUGCAAAUCCAAAAACAUUACCACUACGUAUGUUUUGAAUAAUUUGAUUUAUUUAUUAAGUAAAUAUAGCUUUAUAAUCAAAAAAGUACUACGCAGUUAUUUAAAGCUUUAAAAUAUUUUGAUUUAGCCUGAAAACUAAUCAAGGACAUCGCGUAAUUGUGUAGUGAGCGUCGCACGAAAGUUAAUAUUUAUUCUCACGGCACUUCUUGUACCGACUGGUAACAACCUCUAGGUUUAGUUGAACGGUUACGAAGCAUAAUGUUUACAUAGGGUGCUGAUUAGUUGAAUUGUUUCCUCGUUUUUUAUACGAAUGUCGCUCUACAAUAAGUAGUGUUUAGAGUCCUGUAUUACGUGUCGAUGUUGAAAUGUGUACGAGGUGCUAGAUAAGAGUCAUUGAUGACCGGUUAUACUGAUGUUUGAAUAUUUACUGAAGGGGCGACUAAUGUAGAGGUCUAAGAUAUGACAGCUAUACAUUAGCUAACAUUAAAGAAAAUAGUCCUAAUUUUGCACAACUAAUUAUUGUGUUGUUCCUGUAAGGAACUAACAUAACGCUGACAUGAUGUACAUUUCAUAUUACAAAACAUUCGAGCCACGUGACUGGCGCCUUGUACCAUUGAUGCGUUGUAUGUCGUACAAUACGGGAGUUUAUGUUUCAUUAUUAAGUCUUUAGUGUGUUGUUGAUGUUUUAUUUUCCACUUUUUGACGAUAUUUUUAGGUAUUGGGUCGUGUACAGAUAGAUAAAGUAAGGGUCGAUUCACACAAGAGCCAACACGUGCAACGAAUGAGCGUGGCAUCCGUGGGAAGCGCGAUUCGAAUUGCAAUCGAUCGCUUUGUGUCCUCGUUCGUGAAGUACAAUUAUUAUUAUAAGAACGCUCCAAGGCUGUUUUCGAGGCAUUUGUAUCUUUAACUCGUAUUAUUGUAUAGGAUAACUACAGGACUUGGAGAGAAGUUCGACAAUAAAGAUCUCUACAAAGUGGACAUUAGGGUUUUAAAUAUAUACAUUUAUUGCACACGUAGCUCGCCACUGUAAAUUCGUUUCAGGUGUUCGCUUUUUGACAAUCGACAAAUAAGUCCUUCCGCAUACUAUAAUAUAAAACUGUCGGUGUGUAGGCGAUCCGCCUAGUGUAUAAAUAGUGGGUCACAUCUGGAAAGUGAAAAUUCUCUUGUACAAAACAUUUUAUUAAAUUUUUUCUUUGCACAAAAGUCUUAAAAUUAAGCUAAAAACGAAAAUAACAUACGUAAUAAAGACAUAUACUUUUAAUGGUAGGUAUACACGAAUGAAUUUAUACGGUAGUGAAAAGGACGCGUCGGUCACCGGAGAGUUGGUAGGGUCGGUCGGAUUGUGCUCAAUGCUUGAGUUGUGUUCUGUCUCGCCUUCAAAUAGUGCAGCGGUCUCUGGUCUGAGUCUGUGCCACAAGCCACGUGUCGGGUGUGGUAUCAUACGCGCAUCUCUCGAUCUCGCUUCCAUCUACUGCCUACUAUUUAUACUGUACAAUGUACAUCUCGCUGCACUAUUUAAACGCAUACUUAAUUAUUUUUUUCGUAAUGCAGAAGGGGAAAAUUUAUAAGUUUAAAAAUGAAAUCAACAGGGUAUUUAAGAUUGCUUAAGAUUUAUUAUUUUAUAUUUAUUAUUAUUUAAUAAUGCGUGCUUGCUUAGCGCUGUUUUGUUUGGAUUAAGGUUAUUCUGUCGCGCGCCUGUCGUGCGUACAUCGCGCGUUGCGUGUGCGUGUCGUCGGCGGCACGUGGCUAUCGCGCGAUUCUGCCCUUGUAUUUACUUUUUGUUUAUGUUUGACAGCUGCACGGAAACACACGACUUGAAUAUAUUGACAUUUAUAAAAUACUUGGAACAUAGGGUCUAAAUUUGAAUCUCAAUUACACUUAAGCAUUUAAUUAUGUCAAUCAUAAUAAAAUUUAUUGUAUUAAUGGUUCGUACAACUUUGAAGUUGGUGAUGACAUUUCAGUAGAACGAAACAAGCGUUUGUGUGAUUCAGACGUGUUUAUGCAAUGCCAAGUGUUACAUAUUUGACGCUAAAAACAUAUUGCUUCAGUAUGGGCUCAAAGGUAUUUGUAAUUGGUGUAUUUUAAUAUCCGUCAUAUUUUAACUAGAGUUGUGUGGGUGUCGUGCAGCGGUCGGUCGCAGUAACGCCUUUGUACAUAAUGAGUGCUUUAUUACGCUUUUUUAUAUUAUUUAACAAAGUACAUAUUCGUAUUUCUAUUUUUGCUUUAUAUGUUCAUUUCACACGCGGUAUGUGUGGACGGGAUUCUCUUUGGUUACGUGUGUAAUAAGAGUAACAGUAGGUCGAUACCUCGCACAGUGAUAAUUUAUUGUUGGAGCGGAAAUGUUUUUCUUCCGAAAAAUUUCGCCAAACUUUGCCUACUGUUAAUCUUUAUUACACUAUGUUGGGUAAGUUGCGUCGUGGCGGUCGUUGAUAUUGAGAAAAUUACUUUUAACAUUUCGGGACGCUCUGUACUAUACGUUGUGUCUUCUCUUAAGCUCGACCAAGUAAUCUUAAUUCUUCUAGCAGUUUGCGUGUUCAUAAAAGACAACAAACAGUGCUACAAUUUUGAAAAAUGGUUACAAUUAAUCCGAUCCGUAAUACUUUAUAUAAUUUUAGUUACAUCUGCAUCAGUCAAUUGCCACGACGCAUCAACCGCGAACGAUUGAAGGCCUAUCAAACACACGCCACUGUUGUAACCGGGUGCUAGAGCUGUCGUCACAUCACGCGGCGGGAGGCGGCCUUAAAUGUGACCCAAUCUACCGACAGAACGGGGCAAGGGAAUUUAAACUUAAUUAUUUUGAAUUCUAAUAACUUUACAAUUCGUAUUUCAUUAGUAUCAUUUGACAUUUCAUUUAAGAUGAUAUCAAUGGAAAAUUUAUUCUAUAUUUAUUGUUUUAAAAUUAAAAGUAAUGCGACUUUUAAAUCCUAUGCCAUACUGUGCUGCCGAUAAAUUUCGGGAUUAUCAACUGCCUAUCCUCUGUGAUAUUUAUGUGACUGUCCGUGUGACAACCAGUGAGACUGCCAGCUCCCGGCGCGUGAGCAGCUUGCUUCUUUGUAACUUGUGGUUUAUGUGUAGACGGUAGACAAAAACAUUCCAUUGUCUGUGCUAUGGUCUUUACAGACCUCCGACUUGUCUUAACAAGUGCAAAAAAAUCCUUUCCCGUUCCUCCACUUCUGAAAAGAGUGCUGUCUCAUAGCAAAAUACAGUUAGGAGUAUGAUAAACUAAUAGAAUAGCACAAAAUUCACAUGUGUUCCACGCUGGGCUAUGACCAUCAAUGCAGUGGAUCUUGCGUUGUGGUCAAUUCCAUUGGUAAGUCAUUUUUCUAGGCCUGUGCGCUCUGGUACGUAAGUGCCCUAUCUCGACAAAGUAAGUAAUUACUUAAGAAGACACCUUAAAUGUUUGUCGAUGAAUUAUAAGCCGUACUUUAAACGAACUGUAUAUUUAAAUGAAGCGCGUCAAAGUAGUGUUUUUGUGUCGCAGUCUACACGUGCGUUAGUUGUAUUUCAAGUUUCCUUAUCGAAUAGGUUUUUUGGCGAAUUCCUUUACGCAACGGAGUGCAAUGUCGGGAGAUUAGUGUUUUGUCUCGUGUCUGAUUGUUGUAUUAUUGUAUUUUUAAUAUUAUUGAGUUGCGAGUUGUGUCACAAUGAACGCUGUAGAUGGUUGGUGAUAUACCACAGAGCCUGUUCAACUAUAAGUGGUGUUCGCCGCUGGGGGGUGCGACGAGACGGACGUGCAUGUCUUGUACAAAUAUUCGACGAAUUAUAGCAUUAGUCAAAGAUAUUUGUACACCCAGAUCAGCUGCGAAUAUCGCGUGUAGAUCGAACGUGAUUUGAUGCUGACGUUUAGUGACAAUAUCGUAUCCUCAGGCAAAGAACGCAAGUCUUAUUAAUACUUUCAUUGUUAGCCUGAAGACAUGAAAUAUUUGUUAAUUUAUUUCGGUAAACAAUUUUGGAGGCAUUUAAUAAAAAUUCACAGACCAUCUGUAACGUUUAUUUUGUGAUCCUCUCGCACCGGACCGUUUGGCAUAAACGAGUGACUUUCGACUUUCCUAUCAGGUGCAUAAAGUUUAGGAUUGUAUGAUAUUAGCAGCGAGUGGAGUCAGGACGUGCUGGACUAACUUUUAGAUUUUAGUGCGCGAGGUUAGGACGUAAAUUCGGUGGUGUUGCCGCGUUGUAUUUGUGCUUCUAUUGUAAAUUCGGUUUGUUGUCUAUACAUACAUGCUAAGAACAUAACGUAUUGUGAAACGUCUGUUGUAUAUCUAUAUUUACAUUUUGUUAUUCAAUAAUAGAAUAAAAAUAAUGGUUUGCUAUUUUUAAACAUUUUACGAAACGUUUUAAUAUGGCGACCGAAUUUACGCUCAAAUACAUACGCGUUCUUAAUAAUAAGUCUCUAUCAACGAGUUAGUGUUAGUGUGUACACGUGUUGUUCGCGGACGAGGCGCGGGCGCGGGCGCGGGCGCGGGGAGCGGACGCGGCUCGGCGGCGCGCGCGCCUCGCCGGCGCCUUUAUCUCCUUACAUGUCGCUGCUCGCGUGCGAGUGGACUUCACACGACUCGUUCGCAAUAUAGUGGCUUGGAACUCUUUCUCCUUCAUGGCAGUCGGUAAAAUCACAUAAAUAAAAACUAUCAUUCAUAAUAUGAAUUACUUAAUUAGGCUUCUUUUAAAUAAAAUACAAACAUUACCUAUAUUCUUAUCAAUUGUAGAGUUGUAAGCCACGUUACUGGGAACAUUUUAAAAACACAUUGUACUUAAGGUUGUAAGCGUGUGCAGUCCACCAGCAAGCGAUCAGCUUUUAGUUAUGGGCGGCUUAGACUGUCAGUUUUGACUGCAUAAGUUAAUUAAGAAUUACAAUAGGUCUAUGCCAGUUAUAUUAAAUCUCCAGUGUAUUAAUUUCAGUAAUAAUGAAUGAAUUAUUAAACCUAUUGAUUAUAACACGGUCUAAAAUAACGAAGCAAACUGAUGUCAGUCAAGGCUGGCGGUGUAGCGCGUCUCUUAGGGUUGACCAGUGUAUGCAUUGAGUCGCUCAACUAUUUGUACAGUAUGUAUAUUUUUGUAAAAUUCACUUUUAACUUGCGGUGGCAAUAUUAUGAAAUUUUAAAAUUUAUCUAUAAUAUUAAAACUUAGUACAAUUGUUACGCAGUUACUUUGACCACUGGGGUUUUGUUUUGUAUAAUCUGUCGUUAUAAACUUGUGAGUACAGAAACUAAGGCUAAACUUAAAUCCUCAUGAAAUGUUAAACCUGUCUACGAUUAAUUGUUUCUAUGAAUAAAUCAAUGUUAAAAUGACUGCCUUUAUUACAAUCUGAAUACAAGUUAGUUUGGUGAUAUUGAUGUUAAUACAUAGUUGCACGACUCACAAGCUCGCACUGAUGUCGAACACAGGAGCAGACCGUAUGCGGACGUCCUUAUCUGCAGUUCCAAACAUUGUUGCCUGCGAGUAUCAUCAAACCUUUUGAACAUUAUCACUAAUUAAUAUAAAGCUUCAUUUGGACUGUAAAAAUAGAAUACAAAUGCUUAUCCAAAAAUGGUUUGGGACUGAGAUGAGGAGCGCCAAUACAAGCUGCUCGUUAGAGUUUUACGAUAACGCGCCUUCGCGCACUGCUUGGUUGUGAAUUAGUGUCGCUUACGGUUCCCUACUCCGUCUGCUGUCCGCUGCGAAGUAUUCGCUUAACCAGUAUUGUCGUGCCAAAAAUGUAUGCGCCUCGAUUCCUGCACCCUCUACGCGUCCAGGUUCGGUCCCGCACCUGACUAUACCGGGUCGGGGUAAGAACCAUAGCUGACGCUUCUGAGUGCGGGAAUAGAGGACCGGAGCUUUGAAGCAAUAACGUAUCAACUUAGUCUCAAAUCGAAAGCAAUAAUGACUGGGCCGCGAAGCUGCAGUUUAUUUUACAAAAUUCACCCUCUAUUCGAAUAUAAGGAAUCAUUUUUCAUUGCCAAAAUUGUACUUUUUCAGAUUCUUGUGAUAGCAUUUAGUGCAAACAUGUGUAUCUUUCCGCCAGGUCUAAUAAUACCUGUGCAGGAAUUUAGAUUAUGUAACCAAUGUCCAUUAUAGAACAUUGCAUCCAUAGUAAUACUGUAAUCCGAUCAUUUUGUUCGUCAUAUGUAUGCCUUUAUUAUGUUCAGAUGUUGUACUAUUGGAACCAAUUUUCAUAUUUAUUUCUAUGUUUUCAUCAACAUAAGAUGCGAAUAAAAAGUAUCGCCAAAAUAUCAAAAUUGUGUCCAUUACAGCAACGAUCAGGCGGAGUUAGAUCCUAGCUCAAUUUUAUUAAACAAUAAUUAUAUUAUUGUACUUGCUUGUUAUUUGUCGUUGGAACUGUAGUCAAUUCCCCUUGGCUGACUACACACAAUGUGUACAUCGAUUCCACACUCCCGCCGUUACGGGCAUCGAACUUUUAAGUUUAGCGUUGUGCAGUAUUCUAAAACAAUUCAAUUUACUAUAUACUUGCCAGUCAAUUGACAUAAAUGAACAUCUCAGCCAGGCAUAUGUUGUCUAGCUAUCUUAAGUGGGUCGGAAGCAUAAAGCGAGUGUGUGGAACCGACGUGGCAUCAAAUGUGUCGGCCCAAGUUUCAUUCCACAGCCUGCAUUACUCAAAUAACUCGCAUUUUCUUAACACGGUGCUUGUUUUUGUAUAUAACGGACGACGCGACGCGGCAUUGCUCUUCUUAUAUUGUCACUUUGAAUGUACUUAAUAAAAUUUAGUCAAGGAAUGAAAUUUUCCGUUGUUGGAGUGUUCAAGUUUUUAUAUAUACUUGUAUUAGUUUUGUGCUAGUUUCGUUGUUAGAUUUGACGACGUUGUGUACUUAAUCGUACGAUGCAGUACUUAGACGUUAUUGUAAUAUUAAAUGCUGUUGUAUGGCGGACACGCCCCAUAGUUUAAACUCGUGGCCGCUGCUCGUGCGGGCCACACGUUAUGUAUGAUACAAGUAUGUUGCAUAUGAUUUGAGAGUCUCAGUAGCGCGUUGAGUUGUCGAUCCCAAUGAAUAGUCAAUUAUUCGGGAGAGCGCCGCGUCCCGUCGCCGUCAGCUCGUUUAAAGUACAAUUUACCUUAUAAUCUCGUAUUAUUAUUAGUUGUAAUUGAUGUUUGUACACUACUGUCACUGUUGAGCGGUGGUGAGCGGUGGUGGGCGGUGGCGAGCCGCACGUCGCCGGAGCGCGGCCGGAGCGCGGCCGGCGCGCGUCCGAGCCGCGCUCCCGUUAUAUUGAUACAUACCUACGCUAGCAGUAAACACUCAUGUUUGUACAGUUUUUAACGAUAACACUACUUCUCGUAGGUGAAUAAGCAAGAAAUAUUUUUUAGUAUAAUAAGAUCUAAUCGAAUUACAUCAUAGUGUAACAUAAUAAAGUACUCGAGGUUAACGAAAUUUCAUUUUCAAACUUUCUACGGUCCUUCGUUUAAUGAUCGUAUCGGAAAUUGACUCAGUGGAGUGUAAUUAGAAAUAAACAGGAAAAUUUUAAAUGAUGAGAUACAACUUAAAUAAUGGAUAAGUAAUGUAUUAUAAAUAGUUUUAAGGUAAAAAGUUAUUAUUAACAUUGUAUGGAAAAUUGUGACAAAAUUAUAGUCAUUUGUAAUAUU